GCUGAAAGCCUCUUGUCCCACUGGUCCUGGCAUUUACUCAACCAGAUCUUUGCAAACAGUUAAAUCAGGCACUCCGUGUCUCUGCAGUUUAGAGUGAUCAACAAAAGGAGCCCUUUCUUUGGAGUGCAAGCUUUGUAGCCAGUCAAAGAAUGCAACAGACAUGAGAUGCAAGCGCAGUUACAACUCAUUCUUCCGUCAGUCUCCAAUGAUCUUUCAACUGUGAAGCAGCUCUUGUCAGUCUGCAGUACUACCCGGGUGACAUCCAGGUUUGGCUGAAAGAUUUCAAAAAAUAUGCAAACCUCAAAGGGCCAGGUAAUGACCACCUCUAGCAACAACAUGGCCUUCAAUGACAUGACGAGUCUUGUUAACAGGGCCCAUC